AGCAGCCGCGGUAAUUCCAGCUCCAAUAGCGUAUAUUAAAGUUGUUGCAGUUAAAAGGCUCGUAGUUGAAUUUUGGGUCUGGCCGGGCGGUCCGCCCUCUGGGUGAGCACUGUUCCGACGCCGGGCCUAUCCUUCUGGUGAGUCGGCAUGUCCUUUAUUGGGUGUGCCGGGGAACCAGGACCAUUACCUUGAAAAAAUUAGAGUGUUCAAAGCAGGCGUAUGCUCGGAUACAUUAGCAUGGAAUAAUGAAAUAGGACGCGUGGUGCUAUUUUGUUGGUUUCUAGAACCGCCGUAAUGAUUAAUAGGGAUAGUUGGGGGCAUUAGUAUUCAAUUGUCAGAGGUGAAAUUCUUGGAUUUAUUGAAGACUAACUUCUGCGAAAGCAUUUGCCAAGGAUGUUUUCAUUAAUCAAGAACGAAAGUUAGGGGAUCGAAGACGAUCAGAUACCGUCGUAGUCUUAACCAUAAACUAUGCCGACUAGGAAUC
rnacentral:misc_RNA from 1 species